AGCAGUGCGCCACUGUCAGACGGGCUGCAGCGCUGGCAGGCGGCGGCUGGCAGCGCGAGGCGAGCGCUCUGGGCAGCAAGCGCGGCACGGCGCCGAGGCGUUCGAGGCGAGGAUGCGUCUCCUUGGGUGGCUCCAGGUUCUCGCAGUCGUUCUGCACUCGGCAAUGAGCGCGUCGAUGCUUGGGACGAAGAUGCCCACCGUGCAGCACCCUCCACCAACAACCCCGGCUCUAAAACCGUUGCCGGCACCGACAGUGUUCCCCACCUUGUGCUCCAAGUGCACGAAGAGAUGCGGCGUCAGACGAUGCUGCCAUCUGGCGGGCUGCCGGCCGACCGACGUCACCUGGCCUGAUUUUGACUGAGGUGGCGGUAUGCAGGGAGAACGGCACGAACCCUGGCUUUUGAUUUUACCGGCGGUUUGUGUUAUAACGAACGGGCGUGCUGCUGUGAUUUGUAAGACUAUGCCGCCGUAGAUGUUGCGUAGAUGGGAGACGGAGGACAAUUUCAAGUAGGAUGUGAACGCUUCCUCGCAGCUUCAACGCAUGCCAUCUUCUUAAUACAUGAUGCGCACGC